CGCGCGCGCGCGCUGCGCGCUCGAUCGAGCGCGCAGCGCGCGCGCGCG
rnacentral:misc_RNA from 1 species